GCCAACCUGACAAAGGCUGCAGAAAAUGAAGUUCCUUCAUAGGAACGAAAACAUUAGAAACUGAGCCCUGAAAUUCAGGAGCCAGUCAAACCUCUUGAGUUUUUAUUGAAGAAUCCAAGUUUACAUCAAUAAAUACCUCAGAUGAAAAUAAUGAUCAGAACUUUGAGUUACGGGAUAACAUAAACAUUCCCUCCAAUUUAUUGCAAAUCUACUGAGACUUUGGAAGUGAUCAAGUAACUGGGAAAGAUUUUAUGGAUAUUGCUAGUGGAGUGAAAGAAAAUGAAUUAGAAGCUCUUAUAUCAAUUUUAGGCAAUCUUCUUUCACUUGUUUCUACUCCUCAACCUGUAGAGAACUCCUUGUUAGUACACAAAUUGGGAAGAUAAAAUUAAUUUAUUAAAUAGUGAGAAAUGUUCUUUGAUGGAGCAAAUUAGAAGACCUAAAAUGGCCAUCCUCAAAAAUGAACACUUUGCCAUUUGGUAGUUUGUGAUUCCAUUCAACCUUCUUUGGAAUCCCUACAAGACUCUGAAGAAAAUGAACAGAUUUCAGUCAUAAACAGUUCAGGCAAGGAAAGAAAAAAAAAAAAGGAUAUUCAUCUUUCAAAACCAGAUAAUGUUGAUUCCGAGAAUUCCCCAGUCCCUUCCCUUAGGAGAGAAAGGAAAGAAUGCUGUUUUCUCCAUCAAGUAAAAGCACAGUUCACUUUGAUAAACCCCACAGGAAACUGUCUUCUGCUUUCCACUAUGCACUACUUUCUUUUUGUCAAGUGUCAGGAGAUGCUGCUUAGGAUCAGAAGUGUCUCUGACUGCAGUGAAAAACACCUUCUGCUGAUGCUUGGAUAUUGCUUGCUAUACAUUGCACUUGACGUGCUGCUGGCAAAGACAGAGACACUGAUGCCCUCAGAUUGUAUACAACGUGCCUACAUCUUGAAUCUAAAAAGAAAAAUCAGCUUCUCCACAUUCUUUCUAGUAUGAUCAAGAGGCCAGAUAAAGAGCCAAGGCAAGUGAUACUAACUGGUGUUACGGCAUUCACACAUCAUGUCGGACCAACACAUGCAGAAGCCGAACAUUUACCACAGUGAUGGGAAGAGGUGAGUCACAAAGACCCAAAAAGGACACUACUUGUAGCUAAAUCCUGUGGAGUAGUGGUGCCUUACUUUCCUCAAGAAGUUCCUAACUCCCUGGUCCUCCUUAAAUGGAAGGUAAAGCAUAUUUGAUAUGAGAAGCUGUGAUCAAAAGCCUUGGUAUCAUUAUGGGAUACCCUGAUGAACCAGGCAAGUAUCAGCAGGUUUUUGAAUUGUUGCCUUUGGCCUUGAGUGAUAUCUCAGAAAAAGUAGUGAGUGCAAAACAUCUAGUACUUUUAAUGGCCUAUGAUACUUGGAAUAUGGAAUUUGGAAAUGUACAAUCUUACACCUACAUUGCUGAAUAAGACUGAAAAACUUAUCAGGGAAAGAGAACAAAGGGAAGGAGGGCUGGAUGAACAUAAGCUUCACAUGUAUCUUUCUGCCUUGCAAUCCUUGACUGUGUCACUCUUUGCAUUAAUGGUACAGAAUGUACCUUUCUCAAGCAAAGACAAGCUCCAUGGUGAAGUACCACAGGUGGAAGUGACUGGGUUCCCUCAGCCUAUGUCACCUCUUCAAGAUGUGUUUAUUACUGGAAGUCAGAAGCAAUUGGUAGUGCUACUUCAGUUUUAUAAUUACCAUCUAGAACAUGAGGGUACAACGUGAGAGUUUACUGUGGGUUGUCAAUCAUUACCACAAUUUACAGAAAUAGAUGGCAAAAUUAAUGUUACUUCACCUGCUUAUGUCCAUGAAUUCUCCAGAUUGUUCUAGUGCCUUUGCUGAACAUUUGGCAACAUGUUUUCAAACACUAAGGUAAAACUUGAGUUCCAGGAGAUUUUAAAACUGUCUGAAGAAAACAAUUCCUUAACAGGAAAUAGAGUCCUCACCAAAGCAGCUAUA
rnacentral:lncRNA from 1 species